rnacentral:rRNA from 1 species
AUACGGAAGAUGCGAGCGUUAUCCGGAUUUAUUGGGUUUAAAGGGAGCGUAGGCGGAAGGUUAAGUCUGCGGUAAAAUGGCCGUGCUCAACGCGGUCCUGCCGUGGAUACUGGUCUUCUUGAAUGUGCACAAGGAAGGUGGAAUUCGUGGUGUAGCGGUGAAAUGCUUAGAUAUCACGAAGAACUCCGAUUGCGAAGGCAUCCUUCUGGGGCAUGAUUGACGCUGAGGCUCGAAAGCGCGGGUAUCAAACAGGAUUAGAUACCCUGGUAGUCCGCGCCGUAAACGAUGAAUACCCGUCGUUGGCGAUACACAGUCAGCGACCAAGCGAAAGCAUUAAGUAUUCCACCUGGGGAGUACGCCGGCAACGGUGAAACUCAAAUGAAUUGACGGGG